rnacentral:rRNA from 1 species
CGAACGGGUGAGUAACACGUGGGUGAUCUGCCCUGCACUCUGGGAUAAGCCUGGGAAACUGGGUCUAAUACCGGAUAUGACCUCGGGAUGCAUGUUCUGGGGUGGAAAGUUUUUCGGUGCAGGAUGAGCCCGCGGCCUAUCAGCUUGUUGGUGGGGUAAUGGCCUACCAAGGCGACGACGGGUAGCCGGCCUGAGAGGGCGACCGGCCACACUGGGACUGAGACACGGCCCAGACUCCUACGGGAGGCAGCAGUGGGGAAUAUUGCACAAUGGGCGCAAGCCUGAUGCAGCGACGCCGCGUGAGGGAUGACGGCCUUCGGGUUGUAAACCUCUUUCACCCAUGACGAAGCGCAAGUGACGGUAGUGGGAGAAGAAGCACCGGCCAACUACGUGCCAGCAGCCGCGGUAAUACGUAGGGUGCGAGCGUUGUCCGGAAUUACUGGGCGUAAAGAGCUCGUAGGCGGUUUGUCGCGUCGUCUGCGAAAUCCCGCAGCUCAACUGCGGGCUUGCAGGCGAUACGGGCAGACUCGAGUACUGCAGGGGAGACUGGAAUUCCUGGUGUAGCGGUGAAAUGCGCAGAUAUCAGGAGGAACACCGGUGGCGAAGGCGGGUCUCUGGGCAGUAACUGACGCUGAGGAGCGAAAGCGUGGGUAGCGAACAGGAUUAGAUACCCUGGUAGUCCACGCCGUAAACGGUGGGCGCUAGGUGUGGGUUUCCUUCCACGGGAUCCGUGCCGUAGCCAACGCAUUAAGCGCCCCGCCUGGGGGAGUACGGCCGCAAGGCUAAAACUCAAAGGAAUUGACGGGGGCCCGCACAAGCGGCGGAGCAUGUGGAUUAAUUCGAUGCAACGCGAAGAACCUUACCUGGGUUUGACAUGUACCGGACGACUGCAGAGAUGUGGUUUCCCUUGUGGCCGGUAGACAGGUGGUGCAUGGCUGUCAUCAGCUCGUGUCGUGAGAUGUUGGGUUAAGUCCCGCAACGAGCGCAACCCUUGUCCUGUGUUGCCAGCACGUGAUGGUGGGGACUCGCAGGAGACUGCCGGGGUCAACUCGGAGGAAGGUGGGGACGGCGUCAAGUCAUCAUGCCCCUUAUGUCCAGGGCUUCACACAUGCUACAAUGGUCGGUACAGAGGGCUGCGAUACCGUGAGGUGGAGCGAAUCCCUUAAAGCCGGUCUCAGUUCGGAUCGGGGUCUGCAACU